rnacentral:rRNA from 1 species
GACGAACUCUGGCGGCGUGCCUAAUACAUGCAAGUAGAACGCUGAAGAGAGGAGCUUGCUCUUCUUGGAUGAGUUGCGAACGGGUGAGUAACGCGUAGGUAACCUGCCUUGUAGCGGGGGAUAACUAUUGGAAACGAUAGCUAAUACCGCAUAACAAUGGAUGACACAUGUCAUUUAUUUGAAAGGGGCAAUUGCUCCACUACAAGAUGGACCUGCGUUGUAUUAGCUAGUAGGUGAGGUAAUGGCUCACCUAGGCGACGAUACAUAGCCGACCUGAGAGGGUGAUCGGCCACACUGGGACUGAGACACGGCCCAGACUCCUACGGGAGGCAGCAGUAGGGAAUCUUCGGCAAUGGGGGCAACCCUGACCGAGCAACGCCGCGUGAGUGAAGAAGGUUUUCGGAUCGUAAAGCUCUGUUGUAAGUCAAGAACGGGUGUGAGAGUGGAAAGUUCACACUGUGACGGUAGCUUACCAGAAAGGGACGGCUAACUACGUGCCAGCAGCCGCGGUAAUACGUAGGUCCCGAGCGUUGUCCGGAUUUAUUGGGCGUAAAGCGAGCGCAGGCGGUUUGAUAAGUCUGAAGUUAAAGGCUGUGGCUCAACCAUAGUUCGCUUUGGAAACUGUCAAACUUGAGUGCAGAAGGGGAGAGUGGAAUUCCAUGUGUAGCGGUGAAAUGCGUAGAUAUAUGGAGGAACACCGGUGGCGAAAGCGGCUCUCUGGUCUGUAACUGACGCUGAGGCUCGAAAGCGUGGGGAGCGAACAGGAUUAGAUACCCUGGUAGUCCACGCCGUAAACGAUGAGUGCUAGGUGUUGGAUCCUUUCCGGGAUUCAGUGCCGCAGCUAACGCAUUAAGCACUCCGCCUGGGGAGUACGACCGCAAGGUUGAAACUCAAAGGAAUUGACGGGGGCCCGCACAAGCGGUGGAGCAUGUGGUUUAAUUCGAAGCAACGCGAAGAACCUUACCAGGUCUUGACAUCCCGAUGCUAUUUCUAGAGAUAGAAAGUUACUUCGGUACAUCGGUGACAGGUGGUGCAUGGUUGUCGUCAGCUCGUGUCGUGAGAUGUUGGGUUAAGUCCCGCAACGAGCGCAACCCCUAUUGUUAGUUGCCAUCAUUCAGUUGGGCACUCUAGCGAGACUGCCGGUAAUAAACCGGAGGAAGGUGGGGAUGACGUCAAAUCAUCAUGCCCCUUAUGACCUGGGCUACACACGUGCUACAAUGGUUGGUACAACGAGUUGCGAGUCGGUGACGGCGAGCUAAUCUCUUAAAGCCAAUCUCAGUUCGGAUUGUAGGCUGCAACUCGCCUACAUGAAGUCGGAAUCGCUAGUAAUCGCGGAUCAGCACGCCGCGGUGAAUACGUUCCCGGGCCU